GAUGAACGCUGGCGGCGUGCCUAAUACAUGCAAGUCGAGCGAACAGACGAGGAGCUUGCUCCUCUGACGUUAGCGGCGGACGGGUGAGUAACACGUGGAUAACCUACCUAUAAGACUGGGAUAACUUCGGGAAACCGGAGCUAAUACCGGAUAAUAUAUUGAACCGCAUGGUUCAAUAGUGAAAGACGGUUUUGCUGUCACUUAUAGAUGGAUCCGCGCCGCAUUAGCUAGUUGGUAAGGUAACGGCUUACCAAGGCAACUAUGCGUAGCCGACCUGAGAGGGUGAUCGGCCACACUGGAACUGAGACACGGUCCAGACUCCUACGGUAGGCAGCAGUAGGGAAUCGUCCGCAGUGGGCGAAAGCUUGACGGAGCGACGCCGCGUGAGUUAUGAAGGUCUUCGGAUCGUAAAACUCUGUUAUUAGUGAAGAACAAAUGUGUAAGUAACUAUGGACGUCUUGACGGUACCGAAUCAGAAAGCCACGGCUAACUACGUG
rnacentral:rRNA from 1 species